CUACGGGGGGCACCAGUGAGGAAUAUUGCACAAUGGGGGAAACCCUGAUGCAGCAACGCCGCGUGGAGGAUGACGCAUUUCGGUGUGUAAACUCCUUUUAUCAGAGAAGAAAAUGACGGUAUCUGAUGAAUAAGCUCCGGCUAACUCCGUGCCAGCAGCCGCGGUAAUACGGAGGGAGCAAGCGUUAUUCGGAAUCACUGGGCGUAAAGGACGCGUAGGCGGGUUUUUAAGUCAGGUGUGAAAUCCUAUGGCUCAACCAUAGAACUGCACUUGAAACUGGGGACCUAGAGUAUGGAAGGGGCAGGUGGAAUUAGUGGUGUAGGGGUAAAAUCCGUAGAUAUCACUAGGAAUACCGAUAGCGAAGGCGACCUGCUGGGACAUUACUGACGCUGAGGCGUGAAAGCGUGGGGAGCAAACAGGAUUAGAUACCCUCGUAGUC
rnacentral:rRNA from 1 species